AUGACAUUCACAUUAAAAUAUUAUUGAUAUAAAACUGUAUCUUGUUAUUCCAAGUAACAGACUUAUACAAACUUACACAUAUACAAACAACUUUAUAACUUGAUGAAAGCAGCACUGGAAAAUAGGAAUUAAUUAUUAUUGGGUAGAGGUCAGGGUCUCUUUUUCUUAUUUCCUUUUCUCUCUCUUUUUCCCUUCCUUUUCUUUCCC